UUAAACUACACUAAACACUUGAAGUAGAGAACAAAAAAUAAUGGCGAAUGGAACAUUAAAUUGGAAAUCAGUUAUUUAUGACCAGCUGAAAGCAAGAAAUUCAAAAGAAAGAUACAGAUUUACAGAGCUAAUAGAAACACAGAGCAGACUAUUUGAUGUUCGCUUUAAACUCCAGUCAGAAAAUAUAAGGUUGGCUCAGCAAACUCAGACACUGAGGACGGAAAACUUAAGUCUUCAAACUCGGGCUCAAAACAUUGGCGACAAUUCUGCAGUAUGGAAAGUAGACAGAGUCAAGCAACUUGAAGAUCAGGUG